UAAAUGAACCCCAGCAGCGUCCCCCCGAUCAGCCGCGUUUUAUCCAGGGGUUAUUUCCUGUCCGAAUUUGUAACCAUCUGUCUGUCGGGGCUGAAAUCCCUCGAAAUCUGUGAAUUGUGAGCGCCACAAAUCUAGAAUUACACAUCUUGCGCGGAGCUGCCAGCGCGGCCGCCGCUGCCAGGGCCGGGAGAGGCUCCGAAAAGCGGGAUCUGAUUACGAGGCAUUGAUUGAAGCUCGUGUUUACGGCAGCCCGGCCAGGAUCGUUCCGUGCCACGGCUGCGGGAACAUCCCGGGCCCGGCGCGAUGCUCAGAAUUCAAGGAAAUAACAGGCCGAGGAAGUGGUUUUGCAGCCGCCGCCCCCUCCCCGGCCGAUAUCUCCGAUAUUUGUUCUUGCAGAGUUUCCCCUUUGUGUGUGGAAUGCACCCAAAGUUGCCAGGGUUAAAAUUAAAAAAAAAAAAAAAAAUCGGGAAAAUUUAAAAAAAAUUUAAAAGAGGCUGAGAGGGAGCGAUGAGUAGAGAAGAAAGGGGGGGAAAAGGGGGGGAAAAGGGGGAAAAUGUAAAAAAAAAUACUGGGAUAAGAGGCUUUGCAGUUGGUGCGCUGGAGGAGUUACGCAAUUUUUGUGGCUCUGCAAAAAAAAAAGCCUGAGAUUAUCAGGCGCGAGCAGCCCCGCAUGCAAAUUUUUUUGGGCAGAGAAAUGGGAUGUCCUGCUCGCCCGGCUCGUGAGGAACAGCAAUCCGCCGGAAAAAAAUGUUUGUCCUGGUGUUUUUCCGCCGCUCCUGGCCGCCGCUCUGCAAAUAAAUCCCCCGAAACAGUUUGGGAAAGCAUAAAAAAAUAGGGGAAAAAUAAAAUAUCGCACGGCGGCAGCUCGCAGCGCUGCUCGUUAUGAUAAUUUGUGGUCGAAAGGGGCCCUUUGCAGAGUAUUUUUUGGUUUUAAAAGAAAAUAAAACCGCGCUAAUUGAAGCCGGCCGCUCGCUAAUUGCGCAUCGCUGACAUCUCUGGAGAUUAAAAAAAUUUUUUUUCCUCUCCCUCGACCCUAGCGACGCUUCCUUGGGGCAGGAGAAGGGACAAACUUGACUCCCAAGGUGGGAAGAAACCCCGGGCAAAGCCCCGGGGCCGCCCCGGUUUCCAUCGUGGCCAGGGUCAGGCCCGCGGUGUAAUUGAUUUGCCACCUCCGAUACAUUUAAAUUCGAGCAGGGGUCUUAAAGCGCACUAAAUCUCCCGCAAUUGAGCGCUCGGCUCAGGGGUGGCUCCCAUUCCCCGUCUGGAGACGGAGUUUUGAAUUUAAACCGCCCCAGGUCCCGAGCCAAGCCGGAUUUGGGCCGUUUCUGUCGAUUUUGGACGCCCCGGCUCAGGCGGAGGCAGCAAGGAGGGCUCGGGGUAGCCCUGAAGUUAAGCCGGGCUUUGAGGGCGCCGAGGGGCUCGGCUUUAAUCACAUUUUGGCCUCAUUUCCUCAAAAAUAAACCCCAAAAUUCGAGGCUCGAGGUCUGCAAUAGGAGCAGUGAAGUGGGGAGGGGGCUCGGCUUUAAUCAGGUUUUGGUCUCGUCUUUAAAAAAAGAACCAAAAACCCCCAAAAUUCCAGGCGCGAGCUCUGCAAAGGAGGAGCAAUAAAACGGGGAGGGGCUCGGCUUUAAUCAGAUUUUGGCCUCAUAUUUAAAGAAAACCCCAAAACAAACAAAAAUCCAGACGCGAGGUCUGCAAAGGAGGAGCAAUAAAGUGGGGAGGGGGCUCAUCCUUAAUCAGAUUUUUGCCCAAUUUCGUCAAAAAAACCCCCAAAUUCCAGACUCGAGGUCUGCAAAAGAGGAGCAAUAAAACGGGGAGGGGGCCAGGCUUUAAUCAGAUUUUGGCCUCAUGUAAAGAAGGAGCGAUAAAACGGGGAGGGGGCUCGGCUUCAAUCAGAUUUUGGCCCCAUUUCCUCCAAAAACCCCCAAAUUCCAGGCCGGGCUCAGCAGAGGGGCAGCAGAAGGUGCAGCCCCAGUUUCAGCAGCCCCAGUUUCAGCCUCUCCCUCCUGGCAGCCUCGCUCAGGCGUCGGGGCAUAAAUAAAGAUUAACAGAAGUAUUUGGGGCGCGGACAAGUUUUUUUUUUUUCUUUUUUGUCGCGUGGUUUUCCUGGCCAGCAGCCCCGGCAGAGCCCAGGGAUGAGGGGAUUAAAACAACACCCAAAUAUUUGGCCAGGCCGGCAGAACAGAGCGCGGCUUGUGCGGAGCUGGAGCCGCUCCGGGCUCGGUGCUGCUGGCAGAGUUCCGCGCCGUCGUUUCCAAUA